rnacentral:rRNA from 1 species
UACGUAGGUGGCAAGCGUUAUCCGGAAUUAUUGGGCGUAAAGAGCGCGCAGGUGGUUGAUUAAGUCUGGUGUGAAAGCCCACGGCUUAACCGUGGAGGGUCAUUGGAAACUGGUCGACUUGAGUGCAGAAGAGGGAAGUGGAAUUCCAUGUGUAGCGGUGAAAUGCGUAGAGAUAUGGAGGAACACCAGUGGCGAAGGCGGCUUCCUGGUCUGUAACUGACACUGAGGCGCGAAAGCGUGGGGAGCAAACAGGAUUAGAUACCCU